GAUCCUGGCUCAGGACGAGCGCUGGCGGCGCGCCUAACACAUGCAAGUCGAACGAGCGAGAGAGAGCUUGCUUUCUCGAGCGAGUGGCGAACGGGUGAGUAACGCGUGAGCAAUCUGCCUUUAAGAGGGGGAUAACAGUCGGAAACGACUGCUAAUACCGCAUAAAGCAAUGAAUUCGCAUGUUUUCAUUGCCAAAGGAGCAAUCCGCUUUUAGAUGAGCUCGCGU
rnacentral:rRNA from 1 species